rnacentral:rRNA from 1 species
CUUGGCGGCGAGAGUGCAGUGGACCCACCUGAAUCCAUAACGAUCUCAGAAGUGAAACGCAGUAAUGCCGAUGGUAGUGUGGGGUUUCCCCAUGAGAGAGUAGGGCACCGCCAGGU